rnacentral:rRNA from 1 species
CUAUACCAUGCUGAAAUCGGUUCUCGUUCGAUCACCGAAGUCAAGCAACAUCGGGCGCGGUCAGUACUUGGGAGGGUGACCACCUAGGAACACCGCGUAU